ACGGGAGGCAGCAGUGAGGAAUAUUGGUCAAUGGGCGGAAGCCUGAACCAGCCAAGUCGCGUGAAGGAUGAAGGUAUUAUGUAUUGUAAACUUCUUUAGAUGCAGAGAAAUAAGCCCCUCGUGAGGGGUGAUGCUAGUAUGCAUAGAAUAAGGAUCGGCUAACUCCGUGCCAGCAGCCGCGGUAAUACGGAGGAUCCGAGCGUUAUCCGGAUUUAUUGGGUUUAAAGGGUGCGCAGGCGGCUUUUUAAGUCAGUGGUUAAAUCGUGACGCUCAACGUCAUCACGCCAUUGAUACUGGAGAGCUUGAUUGCGGUCGAGGUUUGCGGAAUUCGUUGUGUAGCGGUGAAAUGCAUAGAUAUGACGAAGAACACCGAUUGCGUAGGCAGCAGACCAGGCCGUAAAUGACGCUCAUGCACGAAAGUGCGGGGAUCGAACAGGAUUAGAUACCCUGGUA
rnacentral:rRNA from 1 species